AUUGAACGCUGGCGGCAGGCUUAACACAUGCAAGUCGAGCGGAGCGAGGGUGCUUGCACCUUAGCUUAGCGGCGGACGGGUGAGUAAUGCUUAGGAAUCUGCCUAUUAGUGGGGGACAACAUUCCGAAAGGAAUGCUAAUACCGCAUACGCCCUACGGGGGAAAGCAGGGGAUCUUCGGACCUUGCGCUAAUAGAUGAGCCUAAGUCAGAUUAGCUAGUUAGUGGGGCAAAGGCCUACCAAGGCGACGAUCUGUAGCGGGUCUGAGAGGAUGAUCCGCCACACUGGGACUGAGACACGGCCCAGACUCCUACGGGAGGCAGCAGUGGGGAAUAUUGGACAAUGGGCGGAAGCCUGAUCCAGCCAUGCCGCGUGUGUGAAGAAGGCCUUUUGGUUGUAAAGCACUUUAAGCGAGGAGGAGGCUACUUAGAUUAAUACUCUGGGAUAGUGGACGUUACUCGCAGAAUAAGCACCGGCUAACUCUGUGCCAGCAGCCGCGGUAA
rnacentral:rRNA from 1 species